CCUACGGGAGGCAGCAGUGAGGAAUAUUGGUCAAUGGGCUUACGCCUGAACCAGCCAAGUCGCGUGAGGGAAGACUGCCCUAUGGGUUGUAAACCUCUUUUGUCAGGGAGCAACGCCGGCUACGUGUAGCCGGACUGAGAGUACCUGAAGAAAAAGCAUCGGCUAACUCCGUGCCAGCAGCCGCGGUAAUACGGAGGAUGCGAGCGUUAUCCGGUUUUAUUGGGUUUAAAGGGUGGGUAGGCGGAAUGCCAAGUCAGCGGUAAAAUCGCGGGGCUCAACCUCGCUCCGCCGUUGAAACUGGCGGUCUUGAGUGGGCGAGAAGUAUGCGGAAUGCGUGGUGUAGCGGUGAAAUGCAUAGAUAUCACGCAGAACUCCGAUUGCGAAGGCAGCAUACCGGCGCCCAACUGACGCUGAAGCACGAAAGCGUGGGUAUCGAACAGGAUUAGAUACCCCUGUAGUC
rnacentral:rRNA from 1 species